GCAAGCGCAGGGCUCUCAGGCGCGGUCCCACCUGUGAGGCCCUGAGGCGGGCGCCUCCCUGAGUGUGGGUCGCGCAGGCAUCGGCCCUGCGUGGCUGAGCUGAGAGAUGUUUGUGUGGCGUGCUGCGGAUAUUGGACCUAGAGUCCCUUGAGGGAUGGUUGCCUGUGUUGAUGGCUGUUCUGCAUGUACCAAGCACUGUGUUGAUGGCUUUACAUUGCUGUUAUCACAAAUACUUCCUCACUGCCUACCUUGCACCGGGCAAGGUUUAUUACCGAGGACACAGCUGUGAACAAGGCAGGCACUUUCCCAGAAAGAUGGUGGUCUGGAGCUCCAG
rnacentral:lncRNA from 1 species